rnacentral:rRNA from 1 species
CCUACGGGAGGCAGCAGUGGGGGAUAUUGCACAAUGGGGGAAACCCUGAUGCAGCGACGCCGCGUGUGGGAAGACGGUCCUCUGGAUUGUAAACCACUGUCCCCAGGGACGAAGAUGACGGUACCUGGGGAGGAAGCUCCGGCUAACUACGUGCCAGCAGCCGCGGUAAUACGUAGGGAGCGAGGGUUGUCCGGAAUUACUGGGUGUAAAGGGAGCGUAGGCGGGACUGCAAGUUGGGUGUCAAAUCUACGGGCUCAACCGGUAGCCGCACUCAAAACUGCAGUUCUUGAGUGUAGUAGAGGCAGGCGGAAUUCCUAGUGUAGCGGUGAAAUGCGUAGAUAUUAGGAGGAACACCAGUGGCGAAGGCGGCCUGCUGGGCUUUUACUGACGCUGAGGCUCGAAAGUGUGGGGAGCAAACAGGAGUAGAUACCCUGGUAGUC